rnacentral:rRNA from 1 species
GUCUAUAGCCAUACCACGCUAUAACGCACCCAAUCUCAUUUGAUCUUGAAAGCUAAGCAGGGUCGGGCCUGGUUAGUACUUAGAAGGGAGAAAUACUGGGGUUGCCAUUUCCU